CAUUUUCAGGAAAUAGCUUUGAUUUCGUUUUUUUAAACUAAAACCGUACUUAAACCGACACAGGUAAAUAAAUUUAGUAAAUUAAGAUGUUGAGUUAACUGUUGUUGAAGGAACUCGGCAAAAUGACUCCGUAACUUCGGGAUAAGGAGUGGCUUUUUUUGGGCAACCUUUUUAAGCUCACAGAAAAUCGGGAACAGCGACUGUUUAAUAAAAACACAGGUUUCUGCUAAUUUGUAAAAAGAUGUAUAGAAACUGACGCCUGCCCAGUGCUAAAAAACUAACGAAAAAAGUUUUGGCUUUAAUCCUAACUUUUAGUAAACGGCGGCUGUAACUCUGACGGUCCAAAGGUAGCGAAAUUCCUUGUCGGGUAAGUUCCGACCUGCACGAAUGGCGUAACGACUUCCCCACUGUCUCCAGCAUCGACUCAGCGAAAUUGAAGUCCCCGUGAAGAUGCGGGGUACCCGCGGUCAGACGGAAAGACCCCGUGAACCUUUACUACAGCUUGGCACUGAACAUUGAACCUACAUGUGUAGGAUAGGUGGGAGGCUUUGAAGCACAGUCGCUAGAUUGUGUGGAGCCGUCCUUGAAAUACCACCCUUGUAUGUUUGAUGUUCUAACA
rnacentral:rRNA from 1 species